rnacentral:rRNA from 1 species
UACGGAGGGGGCUAGCGUUGUUCGGAAUUACUGGGCGUAAAGCGCACGUAGGCGGCUUUGCAAGUUAGAGGUGAAAGCCCGGGGCUCAACUCCGGAAUUGCCUUUAAAAACUGCAUCGCUAGAAUUGUGGAGAGGUAAGUGGAAUUCCGAGUGUAGAGGUGAAAUUCGUAGAUAUUCGGAAGAACACCAGUGGCGAAGGCGACUUACUGGACACAUAUUGACGCUGAGGUGCGAAAGCGUGGGGAGCAAACAGG